rnacentral:rRNA from 1 species
GAUCCUGGCUCAGGAUGAACGCUAGCUACAGGCUUAACACAUGCAAGUCGAGGGGCAGCGGGAUUGAAGCUUGCUUCAAUUGCCGGCGACCGGCGCACGGGUGAGUAACGCGUAUCCAACCUUCCGCUUACUCGGGGAUAGCCUUUCGAAAGAAAGAUUAAUACCCGAUGGUAUCUUAAGCACGCAUGAGAUUAAGAUUAAAGAUUUAUCGGUAAGCGAUGGGGAUGCGUUCCAUUAGGCAGUUGGG